CCUACGGGUGGCAGCAGUAGGGAAUCUUCCACAAUGGACGCAAGUCUGAUGGAGCAACGCCGCGUGAGUGAAGAAGGUUUUCGGAUCGUAAAGCUCUGUUGUUGGUGAAGAAAGAUAGUGAGAGUAACUGCUCAUUAUUUGCCGGUAAUCAACCAGAAAGUCACGGCUAACUACGUGCCAGCAGCCGCGGUAAUACGUAGGUGGCAAGCGUUGUCCGGAUUUAUUGGGCGUAAAGCGAGCGCAGGCGGAAAGAUAAGUCAGAUGUGAAAGCCCUCGGCUUAACCGAGGAAUAGCAUCGGAAACUGUCUUUCUUGAGUGCAGAAGAGGAGAGUGGAACUCCAUGUGUAGCGGUGGAAUGCGUAGAUAUAUGGAAGAACACCAGUGGCGAAGGCGGCUCUCUGGUCUGUAACUGACGCUGAGGCUCGAAAGCAU
rnacentral:rRNA from 1 species